UUUCCCAUUUUUUUUGUUUUAAAAUUUUCCCUGUGCAGCUUCUCUCCUUCUUCAGCCUCCCUCUUUCACUUGUUCGGUCGAGAACACCAAAGAGAUACCAGAGCUUCCCAAGCUCGCACGAUCGCACUCAAGCUACCAUCAUCGUCGUUCGAAGCCCCAAGCCUUAUAUUCGACUACCAUACCCAACGAUCCCAUCACUCGUUACUCUUUUUUAAAGUUUCGAUUUUUUUCAUGAUUAAUUUAACUCAUCCUAUUUUUAGUGGCCGGUAACAACAAUGACUCUCGAUCACACUAAAACACUCAGAUCGAGCCUUAAAUCGAGCAUGCAAGGGUUCACUCCGGUCACGAGAUUCUUUUUGGAAGUAUCCAGGAAAACCUCCUCCAUUUUCCUUCUAUUCCCCGUUGAAAUUUCCCCUAUUUAUGGUUGUUUCGAAUCCACUUUUUUCUUCAAUUAGUGUUGAAGCAGUUUCAAUCCAGUCACAUUUGCUGAGAUGGCCAGAUGAUGACAACUUCUAGAAGUAUUUGGUGGUGUCUCUAUGUUGGCUUGACACUGCAGUAGGAGACAUGCGUGGAUGACAGUUGAAGUUGAUGGCAGCUUGCUUUAGGAUUUUAGCAAAUCCUAAAUUCAUUAGGUCGGGUUACUGAACAGGGUCACAUGGGCUUGAACUAACAUCUUGUAAUUCGGUUGAUAUUUGUA